AGCGUAACAAGGUCUCCGUUGGUGAACCAGCGGAGGGAUCAUUAUAGAGUUUUCUAAACUCCCAACCCAUGUGAACUUACCUUUUGUUGCCUCGGCAGAAGUUAUAGGUCUUCUUAUAGCUGCUGCCGGUGGACCAUUAAACUCUUGUUAUUUUAUGUAAUCUGAGCGUCUUAUUUUAAUAAGUCAAAACUUUCAACAACGGAUCUCUUGGUUCUGGCAUCGAUGAAGAACGCAGCGAAAUGCGAUAAGUAAUGUGAAUUGCAGAAUUCAGUGAAUCAUCGAAUCUUUGAACGCACAUUGCGCCCAUUAGUAUUCUAGUGGGCAUGCCUGUUCGAGCGUCAUUUCAACCCUUAAGCCUAGCUUAGUGUUGGGAAUCUACUUCUCUUAGGAGUUGUAGUUCCUGAAAUACAACGGCGGAUUUGUAGUAUCCUCUGAGCGUAGUAAUUUUUUUCUCGCUUUUGUUAGGUGCUAUAACUCCCAGCCGCUAAACCCCCAAUUUUUUGUGGUUGACCUCGGAUCAGGUAGGAAUACCCGCUGAACUUAAGCAUAUCAAAA
rnacentral:rRNA from 1 species